rnacentral:rRNA from 1 species
UACGGAGGGUGCGAGCGUUGUCCGGAAUCACUGGGCGUAAAGGGCGCGUAGGCGGCCUGAUAAGUAGGGGGUGAAAUCCUGCGGUCUUAACCGCAGGGCUGCCUUCUAAACUGUCAGGCUAGAGCACAGUAGAGGCAGGUGGAAUUCCCGGUGUAGCGGUGGAAUGCGUAGAGAUCGGGAAGAACAUCAGUGGCGAAGGCGGCUGCUGGGCUGUUGCUGACGCUGAGGCGCGACAGCGUGGGGAGCAAACAGG